ensembl:misc_RNA 7SK 7SK RNA
AAAUGUGAGAGUUAUCUGGCAGCAACAUCUGUCACCCCACUGAUCAUCAGGGUUGAUUCAGUUGAUCUGUCUGGCUAGGCAGGUGGCCCCUUCCUCCCUCACUCCUCCAAGCACAUCCCUCCCAAAGCUGCAUGCUUGGUCAAAAACGAUAACCAUCCUCAAUAGAGGAGGACCAGUCUUCAGUCAAGGGUAUAUGCAUAGUUGCACUCCCCUGCUAGAACCUCCAAAGAAGUUCAUUUUCUUAUAAAAUAUCAAAAGAUUCAAUUUAAACAUAUCAGCAUGAAUCACAAGUUUAUAUCC